AGAUCCUUAUAGGAUUCCUUCGCGUCAGUUGUCGGCGUCCUGAGGUAUUCGAGUACAUAGUAGCUACACGUACUGGAUGGCUUUUGUGUCAGAUAAGUUUAUAUUUUUAAAUUUGUUUAUAACGCAUUUUGCUUUAAAAGAUUUUUUAUUUAUAUUUCUCGCAGGUUCGUCCGUAGCAGCAGCCUCGGAUUUACGGAUACCAAAGGACCCUUUAAUACAGGCGCAGCGGAGAUUUCUUUUGCUGGUACUGGAUCGCUUUUUGUGUCGGGUUCGUUCGUAGCAGCAGACACAGAUUUUAGGACACCGGAGGACUCUUUAAUGCAGGCGCAGCGGAGAUUUCUUUUGCUGGUACUGGAUCGCUUUUUGUGUCAGGUUCGUCCGUAGUAGCAGACACAUAUUUUUAGGAUACCGAAGGACUCUUUAAUGCAGGUUAGUAGUUUUUAAAUUUAAUUUGUUAAUUUAGUAUGUGUUUAUAAUUUUUAUUUUUAUUGUUUCGCAGGCGCAGCGGAUCUCUUUUUAUUCUUUGUUGGUACUGGAUCGCUUUUGUGUCAGAUAAGUUUAUGUUUUUAAAUUUGCUUAUAGUGCAUUUAGCUUUAAAAGAUUUUGUAUUUAUAUUUAUCGCAGGUUCGUCCGUAUCUGCAGACACGGAUUUUUGGAUAGCAGGUAAGUAGUUUUUUAAUUUAAAUUUGUUACUUUAGUGUGUGUUUAUAAUUUUUAUUUUUAUUGUUUCGCAGGUGCAGCGGAGAUUUAUUAUGCUGGUAUUGGAUCGCUUUUGUGUCGGGUAAGUUUGUGUUUUUUUUAAAUUUGUUUAAUGCGCGUUUUGUUUAAAAUAAUAUUUUAUUUAUAAUUCUUGCAGGUUCGUCCGUAGCGGCAGACACAGAUUUUAGGAUACCGGAGGACUCUUUAUUGCAGGUAAGUAGUUUUUAAAUUUAAUUUGUUAAUUUAGUAUGCGUUUAUAAUUUUUAUUUUUAUUAUUUCGCAGGCGCAGCGGAGAUUUCUUUUGCUGGUAUUGGAUCGCUUUUGUGUCAUGUUCGUCCGUAGCAGAAGACCCAGAUUUUUCAGAAACCAGAGGACCCUUUAAUGUAGGUAAGUAAUAUUUAAUUUAAAUUUGUUGAUUAAGUGUUAUAAUAUUUUAUUUUUAUUAUUUUGCAGGCGCAGCAGAGAUCCCCUUUUUUUUCCUCUUUUGCUGGAGCUGGAUCAUCUUUGUGUCAGAUAAGUUUGUGUUUAUUUAAAUUGAUUUAAAUUUGUUGAUUGAGUAUGUGUUAUUUUUUUUUAAUUUUUAUUAUUUUGCAGGUGCAGCGUACAUUUUUAGAGGAUACUGGAUCGCAUUUGUGUUUUGUAUGAAUAUGUUUUAAUUUUGUUUAUUGCAUGUUAAGCUUUAAUAUUAUUAUUUAUUUAUUUUUU